GGGUGACUUUGUGUAUCAUAGAACCUAGCCCCUCAGCAUCUGCCGUCAACCUGUAAACCUUCAGAGAAGUGAAUGGACUGGCUUUCCUGUGGAUGACAGUGAGUAACCAGAAUUGAUGUCAAAUCCUUCAUAAAUCUACGUGCAUAAAAAAAAAGACAGCAGACACCUCAGUGACACCCUUCCUGCCCCAUGGGAAAGAGACAAGGAGGAGGAUCAGUUGCCAAAUGCUAAGUGUUCAGGCUUAAGGAUAGAAUUGUCAUAUAGUUUUAAAAUCAAUCACCUUUUUUUUUCUAGUUGAGGUAGAGUGCUUAGCUAGCAAGUACACUUCUCUGGGUCCAAUCCCCAACAUCACACAUUUCGCUCAAUACACAUGCUCUCAUGCAUGCACACACACAGGCUCACACAGACACAGACAGACAGACAGACAUGCUCACUUACACAGACACAUACAGACUCACACAGGCUCACACAGACACAAACACACAGACACACACAUAUGCUCACUCACACAGAUACACACACAGAGACAUACACAGGCUCACACAGACACAAAUACACACACACACACACACACACACACACACACACUUUCUUUUCUUUCAGAAAAAGUUAUAUAGCCAAGUUGUGGUAGUACACACCUUUAAUUCCAACACUCGAGGCAGAGGCAGAGAGGCAGAGGCAGAAAGAGACAGAGAGAGGCAGAGAGAGGCAAAGGCAGAGGGGCAGAGGCAAAGAGGCAGAGGCAGAGGCAGAGGCAAGCAGAUCUCUAUGAUGAAUUCAAGACCAGCCUGGUCUACAGAGUGAGUUCCAGGACAGCCAGUGCCUCCUUUUUGGUUUUAUUUAAUUAAGAAAUUUUAAUCUCUCUCUCUCUCUCUCUCUCUCUCUCUCUCUCUCUCUCUCUCUCUCUCUGUGUGUAUGUGUUUGUGUGUGUUUGCCACAAUGUAUGCGGUUGCUGUCAGAGGCCAGAAGAGAGUGUUGGAUCCCUUGGAACUGGAGUUACAGACUGUGUGAGCUAUCGGUCAGUGCUGGGAAGAGAACUUGAGUCCUCUGGAAGAACACCCAGGACCCCAGCCCAGAGGAUCUUGCUGCCACCGACAUUCAGAGGGACUCUUCCCCUUUCAGUAAGAAUCUUUCUGGAAACAUGCUCAUGGACACACCCAGAGAUGUGUUUCCAUGGCGACUACAUCCAGUCAAGCUGAUGAUGAAGAUGAAACAUCACACAGUCUACGGUGUAAUUUUUUUUUAAUAGAAACAUUAGAAAAUUAAGAUAGUUUUCGACCCCCAAGCAUGUGAAAAUUAUCUCACAGAACACCUUUUGUAUUUAUGUCUAUUAGAUCUUUCAGAGCUUCAAAGGUUUGUAUCUAUUUUUAACCAAUUUUUAUGUGAACUUAUUUACACCGAGUCAUUUUCUAAGAAAAUGGAGGUAGGGUCGGCUUUCCCAGCAAAGAGUUUUAACUCUGUCCGAUGAACACGUGACCCAGGGCAGCGCCGUACCUGCCCUUCAGAUGUGCCCAUUUCAAGGUUCAGUCAUUCUUCCUCUCUGACUGACUCCCCAGGCCAGGGAUGGGGUCUCUCUGGCUCUGCUACAGCUUCUGGGCUUUACGGGUUUGGGGAUGGGGGUGGGGGAUAGAAAGUGGGAGUUAUUUAAGAGAUUCUAAGGUCUCUACAUCUACCCCUGGGUACGUCUUGUCCCCGCCCAUCCUCCACAAGGUCUUUUUAUCCCCCACAGGUGCCUGGAACAUCAGCCCUCUUUUUUCAGCUUCUGUUUCUCAGCUGUUUCUGCUAACUGGAACUGUGUAGUAGGAGGGGAGCCCUUCUCAAGUGGAAUCUGAAAUAUGUUUGCUUUCCAGUAUGUAUUGAAAGAGGACAUUAAAAAAAAUUAAACAUUAGAAGCCACUUUGCUGUUGUGAAGUAGAAUAAGGAAAUUAUCUGUAGUAGAGCUGAGGAUGUACCUCAAUCAGUACAGCACUCGCUACAGGAGGCAGAGUUUGAUCCCCAGCACCCCAUAAACUGAAUACAAGACUACAAACCUGUGAACUCCAGCCAGACUCAGGAUAAGGAGGCAGAAGACCACAGCUGCAAGAUUACAUAGUCAGUUCAGGGACAGCUUUGGCUACAUGUGGCUGUAUCUCAAAAUAAAUAAAUAGAUAGAUCGAUAAACAAAUACCAUGUUAGUGGUUAAGUAAUAACUAUCAUGACUAUGCAUAUAGUGAUAAUAUAUAGCUGUAACAUAUAGAAGGACAAGUUCACGAUACAUAGAGAUCUAGAGAAAGACAAUGGUACAUUUAAGUUAUGUACAUUUAAGUCCAUGACGCAAUACUGCCCACACAGCUGUAGAUUACUUUCUUGUCAUAGUUGGGCAGAAUUUAUGUUUCAUGUUUAUGCUUUUCACACACGUGUAACCAGAUAAAUAAAUAAAUAAAAAUGAUCAUCUGUAAUCACC